GGGUGGGAGCGGCGGCUGAGGAGUUAGGGGAAGGGGCUGAGAGGAUGGCCUGAGGGAGGGCUAUGGAGAAAGGCUCUGAAACGGCUUCCUUCUGGGCAAACGAGUUGGAAGAAGAUGGUGCCCUCCUUGCGCGGGUCGGGGCCAGGUGCAGGGAGGCAGCAGAGGGGCACGCGUCCAGAGUGAGGGCACCAGAGCCCGCCCUAGACCGGGAGCUCCCGCGGAAAUUACUCCGGGAACUACAUCAUAACGGGAGUUUCACCAGAGGACUUUUGUAUAUGGGCUGUGGCAGCAGACCAGUUACACCAUAGUACUUGUGGUCUGGAAGUGAACCCAUGACAUCUCUGCAGUAUGUCUAUAUUCCCUGAACCCUUGUAUGUGCAGUCUCCACCGUUAUCGACAUCCCUCACGAGAACAGCACAGUUGUUACAAAGGAUACGCCUACACUGAGACGUCAUCAUCCCCCAAAGCCCAAAGUUUACCUCGGGGUUCACUCAGGGUUCACAUUCUGUGGAUUUGGACAGAUGCAUCAUAAUGCGAGGUUGAGAUGGUUGGGUGGCAUCACCGACUGGAUGGACAUGAGUUUGA